GCCUUCCUUCCUCCCCUCCCGCUUCACAAGAGCACAUUGAACACCACCUCUGUCAUGUCCCAAGCCAGGCACCAAGGUCACAAGCAUAUUCCACUCCUCCCACCCUUCAAGUGCUCACAGGUUACUGGAAGAGAAACAAGUAAACAGGUCUUCAGGACACAAGAGACACAGCACAAUGACAGAGCUAGAACCAUUCUGGAUGCAAAGGAGAGAAGUUGAUUCAUCGCAACAACAGAUGCUGUCGGCCCUUCGGGCUGAAUUCCCGGGACCCACAUCUCAUCCUGCUUGUCAAACCUCUUGAUUCAGUGAAUCCCUGGUUCAUUCAGAAAACAAAACUCAUCACUUUCAAAGCCAAAGAAUCAUCAUGAGGAAGCUUCAUGUACAUUUCCAAAAUGUAAAAGAAAAUAUUCCAAGAGCACUGGUCUUCGAAACAGACCGCGGAGGGUUAAAAGCCAAGGCCUCCUCCCACAAAUAAAAGAAACCCAAAAUGUUCUACCUGUUUUAUCUAAACAACGACGCAAUAAACAGCUUGAAAACUUA
rnacentral:lncRNA from 1 species